rnacentral:lncRNA from 1 species
AUAAAUUCUUAGUUAUUUUUGUUUGUUCCCCCUUUUCGUAGGAUUCUUUUUUUAUUUGUUUAAAACUCAAUAGCUUCCAUUGGAGUAAAACCUGGGGUUACAAUAGUUUGCUAUGAUGCCUUUUAUCCACUCUUUACACGUGUUGCUGAGGCGCCGCCGUUUCUCCUCACGCCGACGCCGGAGGCAGGGGAGCGCAGCCGCCCGCCAUUUCACGCCGCCCUCCCCUUCUCUUCCCUUCACGCCGUGCGGCCGCAGCACCGCCCGCUCCGGGGCGGGCUCCCCGCUUUCUCCCCGCCCGGCCCACCGCCGCCGGUCGCUAGGCGAGCCCGGACGCCCUCCCGCCGCCGUUUCGUGCCCUCCCGGUGGCGGCUCCCCGCCGCCCCCGACCAUGGAGGGCGAUAAGAGAAGAACCAAAGAAGAUACUUGGAAAUCAGAAGAACUUCAGAAACAUCUUAGGGCAUCACAACCAGAGGGUCAGAAUGAAGACAAAAAGCACAGAGAAAAGAAACUGCAGAGAGAGAAGGCUGUUCGUGACGCAGGCACUCAUAAAGAUGAACGCAAAGACAGAGGAAAGAGCAAGGAAAGAACAAGAGAGAGAGAGAGAUUUAAAUCUGUUGAAAGAGACAGAGAUAAAAUGAGAGAGAGAGAAAGGGGAAAAGAACAUCACAGAGAACGUGACAGAGAGAGACACCAAGUUAAGCUUCGAGAGCAGAGUUUGGAUAAGGAAAGAUACAGUGUACCGAAAGAUAAAGACAGGGAGAGUGAUAGAGAACGUGAUAAAAAGCAUAAAAGACAUGAGAUAAAGCAAACAGACCUGCAAAAUAAUCUGAAACCAUCUGAAGGAAGAGAGAAAGAACAUUAUAGAAAAAGAGAAAAAAGCCGACAUCGUUUGGGUAUGUUGCUUUGUGUUGCUCUUUUACUUUGAAAUAUUUGAUAUUUAGGUAGAAGUACUGUGCAGCCAUACAGAGAGGAUGAACACAGGCAGGUUGGAGUAACUACUGAAAUAUAAAUCUUUACAGAAUCCUGUCAUAACUUAGUUUUAUUUUGGUGCUUUUUUGAAUUUUGAUGCUGGUUUCCUUUCCUCUGAAGAGAUUUAAUUGCUUUUGUUGGUCAGUUGACUUGGAAAGAAGUCCUGCCCUGGCACUCUGUACUGAGUGAUCAGUUUGAAUCCCGAAGUUGUAGGGUUAUUGCCGAAGUUAGUAGCAUGUGUCAUUUCUCUUACCAUUACAAAAGACAAUUGAGAACAGACGGGUUCAUCAGGAAGGAAACAGGAAUAACCAGCUUUGGAGGGAGAAUUUCAAAUGAAUGAUCUGUUAUUGUAGAAGGCUAUUAUGUUUUAGAAAUCAAUAUCCUUGAAAUGCUUUCUUCUAGUCUAGAGUUAAUUACGUACAGAGUUUGAGUAUAAUAAAGUCUGCUCAUCAAUUUUUACA